AUUGAACGCUGGCGGAAUGCUUUACACAUGCAAGUCGAGCGGCAGCACGGGGGCAACCCUGGUGGCGAGCGGCGAACGGGUGAGUAAUACAUCGGAACAUGCCCAGUCGUGGGGGAUAACACUUCGAAAGAAGUGCUAAUACCGCAUACGUCCUGAGGGGGAAAGCGGGGGAUCGCAAGACCUCGCGCGAUUGGAGUGGCCGAUGUCAGAUUAGCUAGUUGGUGGGGUAAAGGCCUACCAAGGCAACGAUCUGUAGCUGGUCUGAGAGGAUGAUCAGCCACACUGGGACUGAGAAACGGCCCAGACUCCUACGGGAGGCAGCAGUGGGAAAUUUUCGACAAUGGGGGCAACCCUGAUCCAGCCAUUCCGCGUGAGUGAAGAAGGCCUUCGGGUUGUAAAGCUCUUUCGGCAGGAACGAAACGGUGAGCUCUAACAUAGCUUGCUAAUGACGGUACCUGAAGAAGAAGCACCGGCUAACUACGUG
rnacentral:rRNA from 1 species